AAAAAUACCGCGGUGGGUUUUCCGACGGAAGCAAUAGCCGCUUUAUUAUUAGGUAUAUAUUGUUUCUCCUAGUUCACCUACACGCUUUCUUUUGCAUAUAUUUAAAAACUGCUAAAAUUUCAGCAAACAUUACAUUUUGAAAAUUCAUAUAAAUUCAACCAUGUAUCAGAUUAAAACAAUUUAUAUAUGAAACUUAACUAAAAUUGUAUGUAGAUUCGUAAUAUGUCAUUUUCAACCAUGAUAAAAAUAUUUAAACAUGUUGUUUGCAUUGUUUUGUAUCAUGCCAUAUUAAGAAUGAUUUAAUCCGUAGCAAAUUAAUCGUGUAUCGGAUUUAAAAACUUUAUACAUGGAAAAUGCUUAGAAUUUCGUGUAGUUUCAUAAUAUCCAACUUUCAUGCAUAUUAAAAAUAGUUAACUUGUUGUUUUCAUUUAAUUUGCAUAAAUGUCAUGUUAAAACGAUUUAUUUCAUAACUAAUUAAUCGUAGCUUCGAUUCAAAUAUUUUAUAUAUGUAACAUGACUAGAAAAAUAUGUAAAAUAACAUAGCGGCAUUUAUUUUGAUGUUUAACAACUCUAAAAUUGUGUUAUAGGCAUAACAGUACCGAAAACUUUAUUUGCAUAUGAGGACUUUCCAAAAUGGUUAUUCGUUGUUUCGGCCUCAUUUCAAGUUGCCUAGAAUUUCCAGUAGCUCCAAGAUAUCUUGGUUCAUUCAUGGUUUAACAUGUUGUGGCUGUCAUUUGCAUGCAUUUUGUAUUCAUGACAUUUAAUCUUGUGUUCCUCAUAUGUUUUAAAACUUAGUUCUGUUUUAAAUGAUCUUUAUAUGUAAAUCGACUAGAAUGACGUGUAGAAUCACAUUGCCCACUUUAUUUUGCUGUUUGAAUAAAUAUAAAAUGUGUCAAUUCAGAUCUGCACCUAUGUAGGUAUUUUAAAUGAGGUCGGAAACAACAUAUACUAUUUAUGAACUAAAUAAAUUGAAUGUGGAGUUUCAUCAAUAGGCAACUUGUUGCAUAUCGAGCUUUACUUAAUGUGUAGUGUUUGCUUGUUGUGAAUUGCCAUGCCGAGCCUUGCAUAAUUAACCCGAACAUGCAUCAUAUUGCUUGCACAUCAUGCCGUGCAUAUUUUGUAUUGCUAUCGUGUGUUAAUUGUUGUUUUCGGAUUGUUUCUUCUCAAUACAGUCCCGAACCGCUUCAGGGUGUGAGGAUUCAUUCGACUACGUCGGUUCGUGUACUUCAUGGAUUCGUUCUUCUUGCAAGCAGGAUCACACGCAAGAUGGUCAUUUCCCUAGAUACCAGUACCAUCAUUGCUAUGCUAGUUGUCUCAUUUCUUUCACUAUGUCUCACUGCUUACAACCUGUCAGCCUCCCAACAUUGCCAUGAAAGGCCUCUAACCCCCUCCAUAACCCAUCAAACCUUGUUUGGCUAUAUUACUGCUUGAUCAACCUUCUUAUAACUUUGCUAGUUGCAGGUCCAAUUUCUUCCAUGUGAAAACAUGGAUUCCUUGCUAUGUCAUCAUAUUAUUGCUAGUUAAUUUAGAGCAUCUAUACACUUGGUAAAAGGUGGAAGGCUUCGCCUUCUAGCUCGGUGUUUUGUUCUAUCUUUGCUGCUCUAAAUACUUGUGGACCG
rnacentral:lncRNA from 1 species